AAUCAUGUACUUUGACACUCGAUAUAUAUCAAUAAAGGCAUUGUGUUUCAUCAUUUGCUGCUUAUCUAUUUUAUUAUUGGAUGAUGAACCCUAUAAAUUAGGACAUUGGUUUUAGGGUUAUGAUGAGAUCAUACUAGUGAGACCUAAAAUCCUAAAAUCCUAAUUUAGAAUAUUCCCAGUCAAAUUGGUAUAUUGAGUCGGGGAUCAAUAUUACCGGAAAGACUGGCACAUCUUAUGUAUGCUCAAUGU
rnacentral:lncRNA from 1 species